UUCUAUACACUAUGUCCUGGCGUGCCUGCUAGUAAACCAUGGCAUCAGGGGAGAGGAACGGCAGCUCUUCAUGCCCUGCCCAACGACAGUCCAGAAACCUCAGACGUCCCGUCGCCUUCUCGCCUCCUCUGAGAGCUGCAGAUCAGUUCACGUUGACAGAUUGGAGGGGAAAUGUGCAAAUAUUUAUGGGCUAUGGAGGCUCUAUAAUCAGAACAUCUCCUGAUAUUUGCCAUUCUGUAGUCACUUGAGAGGUAAACAGAGAAGACAAUUCCAUCACAGGAAUAUAUUAGAAGUAUUGAAAUGCCUUUUCCGUCCCCACUUUUCCAUAUUUCUCCAGUUGCAGUUUCAUCUGUACAGAAAAAGAGCUCUGGUAGCUUCUGCUGAGACUUUUCAGUAGGAAACACGACAAAAACAAACAAAAAAAAGAGCAACAGCUAUUUUGAAGACUGACUUUCUAAAAUUAUAUUCCGGAUUAAGCAGCUGUAACAUUGCCAUUGGUCGCUGAGGCUCCUGGUUUCAGCAUGUCUCCUUGGUUCCCAGCCAGUCCUGGGUGUUCAGGUAGCAGCUGUGGCUGGGAGUGCCUCUUCAGCCCACAUUCCUUGGCUAUGAAUUUUGCAGCCCUGUUUAUCUGAUGAAGACCUCCCCAUAGUGAGUUGCUCACGACAUUGUCACACAGAACUUAAUGAAUGAUAUGGAAAGAUACUGAGUAUUUUUCCCCCUGGAAUGCCAACCAAUCCUGACUUUCCCAGUCCCUUCAUUCUGGCUUAUCACCACAAAGCCCUGGUGCUGAGACUCAGUGAGACCUGUCCUACAAUACAUAAACCAAAUUCUCACAGGAUGUCCAUGAGUUCUCUCUGUGCGGCUGUCCCUCAAGCCUGUUCAGAGACUUUUCAACAACUACAUUUGUCCAAACAUUAACUCUCACAUCUCUGCACUAAUUGUUUACUUUAAUAUAUACUUUUAAUCUAUAAAUGCUACCACCAACUUCAGCACACAGAGACCUCUCUUCCUUCUCUUGAAACCCAUGACUUUACUUGGGAUAGUUUGGGAUGGCUUUAGAGCAUGGCUUUCUCACUAUUUCCUGUGUCUUCAUUUUAUCUUCCCAAACCAGACUAUAAAUUUUUUGCAAGAAGAGACCCUGAAAACAAGUAACACGUUAUAUAGACAAAUAGGAAAAAAAACAAAAAAACGAAAAACACAUUUGGACAGAGGGAACUUUGUUGCUCUUAGUAAAUCAGAAAAUUUCCCUGAACAUGUCCAGAAGACUGUAGAUCAUCUGCUGUAAUAUAUGACUCGUUUCCCCUGCCUGCCCUCUGCUGGAACUGCUAACUGAGCAAUAAGAUGACCAAGGCAGAAUAUCGAAUGGGAAAAGGAGAACAAGGGGCUUGUCUGACUGAAAAGCAAGUGAAUAACUGUGGUUUUUGAGUCCACAGUCUGGGUCUUUGAAGCUCCUCAGUAUGUGCCUUGGAUAACUUAGCAGCCUCAUCAGAAGACCCUUGACUGUUUCAGCCAUGCACUGGGGUGUGAUUCUGCCUAUUAGCAUGCGAUGGACCAAAUGACCUUGGGCAUCCUCCUCUUCCUGUGUGCUUAUUUUAUCUCCAGAACAAUUCCGUAGAUGGCUGCAAACUGAGCCAGAUGGCUUUCUCCAUGCCAUGGAGAACAAGGCUCCUAGCAACCUUGGUCUCUCUCCUCAUCCUAUAAGCAAUUCUACUAGCAAAGAAAGAAGAUUUCUUGCCCUUUAGCUCUAACCUGAAAAAGAUUCCAAGAGUUAUUUGUGUUGAAUCAACUUAAAGUCACAUGCUUCUCCCCAAACCAAUCACCAAGCCAGGAAGAUGAGGAAAGUAACUCCAUCCAUUACUUCAUCUUCCAUUUGCAUUUGCAAUUAUCCUUCACCACUGCUUUUUUCUCCACUUAUCUACCUACAAGACUAUUCCCUUGAGAUAUCAUCAA